rnacentral:misc_RNA from 1 species
GUACUUGUCUUACUUGUCUCCCCUGGACUAGACAACAAAAUGGCGGUGAACGCUACCCGACCGCUAGUAGUUCCAAAGCAUUAUGAUCCUAUGUUUAAAGUUGACGUUUUGCUGCACGAACCAACGGUAGCGUCGAUGUCAACGGGAGCUGGGGAGAUAAAAGUGGAAGUAGCUGCGUUGUGUUCUCAGCUGGAAGUUCUGUGCAGAAAAGAAUUACUAAACCAACCCUCACAUAGGAUUGAUAAUGGGAAGGUCAGCAACUCCUUCAGAAGUAAAGCAAAUCUUAUUAUUGAGCGGAUGCGCCAUGUGCUGGUCAAAGACAGGACAAUUCAUUCUUCAGUGGAGGAAUACUUAGGAAUUACAAAUAUGAGCAAGAUGUUUCCAAGGGCUGUGCAAUACAUCAAAGACUCUAAGAGCUUCUCUCUUGUAUCAAAGCAGACUCACCUGGAUGAGUACAUAGGUGCUAUGUCUCACCUUCAUCAGAUAGCAACAUUAUCACAUCAGAUUAAUGAGGAUAUUAUCAAAUCUCAGCGGCCCAAGUACCUGGCACAUCAACUGGCCUUGUUAUAUCAAUCAAUUUCAAGCCUGAAGAACAUUGAGCCACUGAGUCAGCACAAAAAGAGCAUAGAGGAGAAUUUUAAAGCUAUAAAAUCUGUUCUUAUAAAUGAGGACCAGCCUAACGAUCCUGUUCCAGACGAGCUCAGAAAGUGUGUUUGGGAGCUGACCAAUCAGAUUACAAGGAUUGUUGAGUCGCUGCCAUCCACGCUUACCCAGCAUGCUUUGCUGCCUUCUUGUCUUUUGAUUCAGACAUGAAAGCAAGUGAGCAGGGAAGAAAAGGAGAAGACACUAGGAAGAGAAGGUGAAAUAAGCUGCCAGUUGAAUAAAAAUUAAGUACAUUUUCUGGUCCACCAUUUACUAUAUAAUACAAUUUUCUGGAGAAACCACAUAAAAUAAAUAAAGUAUAUUUGGAAAGAGA